rnacentral:lncRNA from 1 species
UCUUCUCCUCCUCCGUUUCAGGUGGUGAAGGCAGGUCUGACGGCGGCUGUGUUGCUGCUGGUGUUCGGCGAGCCGGUCGCUGCUACUGGAGGCCGAAUGAAGGGGGGGACUUGCGUUGCGAGAGGGUGGCCGGCUUCGGUGAAGGCCUGUCGAGGCUGGCUUCGGGUUCGUCAGGUGGAGAAGCUGGGAGACUGCGGCGGAGGGGAGAAGGAGCGGCGGCUCUGUGCAGGCCGAGAGGGAAGAUGACGGGGAGAUAGGGACUGCUGGAGGCGACCGGAGGAGAAGAAACCCACGGGUCCAAGCUGGGGAAGCAGCAAUCGUCUUCAACAGGAAGCGCCGGAGCUGCGGGUUGAUUUGGGUGGAGGCGCUGCUAUUGAGAGGAGAAGAAGACGCUGCUGAGGAAGGGGGUUUCGGCUGGAUCUGCUGGUGAGGGAGAAAGGAUAAUCCGGGUGCUUUGGGGGGCUGUUUGGCCGGUUUCCAAAGAAAAAAAAUUCAAUUCGGGUGAGGGGCUGUGUGGGGGAGAAAAAAAUGAAUUGGCUCCGGCGGCUGGGAAAAAAUUCAAACCAGAGGGGGGGGGGCGGCUGCUCUUCAAAAAAGAGAUUAGGUUUAGGUUUUUUGUAUAUUUUUUGUGUUUCCAAAAUUAACCCCCCCACUUGAAUGUGUUGAGGAAACCAGUAUUUAUAGGCAAAAUGUUGCUAGGUUUUUCAACUUGGUCCCUCAACUUCUUUCUUUUUUUGUAAAUUUUUAUUUUUCUUAUUUUUUUGUAUUUUUUGAAAACGAGCAAUAUCAACGUCGACUUAAAUGCGGAAAAUCAAUGAUUUAAAAAUGACGCGUGAAACGUCGAACGCGUUUUAAAAUCUUUUAACAAUUUAAAUUUCUUUUUAAACUACGUUGAAAAUGCUAAAAUGACGAAAAUAUAUUAAAAACAUAUUUUUUUGGAUUUUCAUUGUUUUUCUCUAUUUUUGGAUUUUUUUGAAAAUAUAUCAAAACAUGGGUCAAAAAUUGGGUAGCAACAGAUGCCCCCUCUUUACAAUGCUUACGAAGCAAAACUCUUCAAAAUUUUGCAUAGUAAGCUUUGUAAAGAAAACAAAAGGAAAAUGAUUUCAUUAUCUUGGGCGACCUGCCCACACAUACUCACUCAAGUCUAUUUUCACGGGCGACCGACCCACACUCUCCCAAUAGUCUAUUUUCACGGGCGACCUGCCCACACAUUGGGUUUACCUGAGAUCCCAUCUGGCGACCUCAUUCAACUGGAAUGAAAAUAUGUGUAACUCGGUUAACCUGAAAUCCCAUCUGGCGAUUCCCUUUAACCAAAGCUACAUGAGAUCCCAUCUGGCGACCUCCUUCUGGUCUCAUUGUACGGGUGACUAACCCUCGAAAAAUGCUGGUCUCAUUAUACGGGUGACGAACCCUAGUGCUGCUGGUCUCAUUGUACGGGUGACGAACCCUAGUGCUGGUCUCAUUGUACGGGUGACGAACCCUAGUGCUGGUCUCAUUGUACGGGUGACGAACCCUAGAAAAAUGUUGGUCUCAUUGUACGGGUGACGAACCCUAGAAAUAUGAUGGUCUCAUUGUAUGGGUGACGAACCCAGAAAAAAGAUGGUCUCAUUGUAUGGGUGACGAACCCCGGAAAUAUGAUGGUCUCAUUGUAUGGGUGACGAACCCAGGAAAAAUGAUGGUCUCAUUGUAUGGGUGACGAACCCAGAUGGAAAAAAUAUGAUGAAGUGCGGUCUCAUUGUCAUGGGUGACCUACCCGGAUGGAAAAAAAUGUGAAAAACGGUCUUAUUAUGAUGGGCGACCUACCCAAAUGGAAAGAAUGUGAACAAAAAUGGUCUCAUUAUGAUGGGUGACCUACCCAUAUGGAAAGAAUGUGAUAUGACAAGUGUGAAAAAUAGGGCUUACCUGGCGAAGUUCUGAAGGGAUGACAGAAGAAAGGGCUGAAAGACUUGGUGCUUCUUGAUAAUUCCCGAUCAUGGGGUUUGAAAACUCGUGUUUCCUGACUGCAAGGGUUGAAAACUCGAGGCUUCCCGGUUGCAAGGUUGAUCUAUUCAUUUCUUUGGGAUUUUCCUAAUGGUAGGGUUCAUCCCAUCGUCCUUUUAUUCCAUGAUCAAAACCGAUUCUUUAUUAUCAUCACCACAAUGCUUCUUUCUCUUUCCACCAUCUUGCUGGACCUCAUUAAGGAUUUUCCUGUAACAAUUCAAAAAUAUGUGCAAAUGGUUUUUUUUUUUUUUUUUUUUUUUUUGAGGUUAGAUGAUAUGCAUGCAUCCUUACCUGAUUUGAAAUAAUAGGUCCCCCCUCUUUGAUGCUCCAUCGUCAUAGGGUGCCCUUGUUUGUAUCCCAAAGCUUUCUUUGUUUUUCCGAUGUAUUGGCUCAUUCAUGUGUUAGCCAUCCACUCAGCUGUAAAUGCAGUGCCCAUCCCGGGCUGUCUUCGACAAUUACUGCUUGCAUCGUUCAUGAAGCUUGACCCUGCCCCCAAGUGUAGUACUGCUUGAUUCAUCAUGAGAGAUUUUCUCUCCUGGCUUCUUCUGAGAAAUUAUCCUCUGAUGCAUCAUGCCAACACCCAUCACGUUUGUUAAUCAGUCAUGAACUUGCCUUCGGUUGAAACACCAUUGUUGUAUGGUCACCAGCCUUCAUGGAACUGCCAAGUCAUCCAGACAUGUAUCUCAUGCUUUGCAGUAAACAGCUCAUCAUUGUAAGCGCGAUGUAUUUCUCUAUGGAUUCCUCUUAGCUUGUCAAAUCAUGAAAAUACCUGCUUUGGCAUCAUCAAUGAUGUUCAUGUUAUCACCCAUAUUCAUGCGGUGAAGUGCGCAUUUGAGCUUCAGAAUAGAUGUCCCACAAUCAGUCUUCGGUGCCUUUCCAACAUUCAUUCAGUGCAGUUGUGUGAUAACAUCUGUCUAUAACCAUGUUUCAAAGAAUGACAAUAUGAGAAGUCCUUUAAGUGCAGCAUUGUUCCACAGUCAGUCUUGGUGGUAUGCAUCUUUUCCAUUCAAUUACAUUCAUCUGUGUAUCUCAUCGAUUGCUAGCCAUGUUUCAAAAAUGAUGAUAGGAAAGUGCCCUUCAGGUACGUUUUUGUUUCUCCAUUGCCGACAGGAUUCACUAAAGCAUGGGCCAUUUUGGAAUGACAUUGCCCCCAGUAUGAUCCGAGUGUGCUCGUUCAUUGAUUAUCUGUCUUUGAACAUCAUUGUCUUCAGUUCACUAAUUCAUCAUUUAAUCAUUGCCUCAUAGCUGAUCUGAGCACUGCUUGUUUUUCCUUUUCAAGGUCUACUGUAUUGCCCCCAGCUGCUCAACUUUUCAAGGAGUGUCGAGGACUUCAAUGUCAUUUCUAUCAACGAUUUUGCAUACUCAAUCAAUGUUCUUCUGUGUUUGAUAAUCUUCCUUGUUCUGGAAUCAACUCUCAUAUUUCAAAGAUCAUGUCUAUUCAAAGUCUAGUUUGUUGAAAUAAAAUCGGAGAUGUCUUUUUUUGAAAAUCAAGCUUUUUGAUCAAAGGCCCAACACAUUUUAUUCGAAAUAUAUAGUCCUUUGAUUGUCAUGCAUUUUGAAAACAGAAAUUGACCCAAUGUAGGAUUAAAAAUGGCUUUUCCAUGGUUCUUUGUAUCAAUUUGAAUCCUUGAUAUUAGGUAUAUCAUUUGAUAGUUUAUGGUGAGGUGACCUUCUGUGAAUUUCAAGGAAAACAACAGGCUCAAGUCAAAACUUGAGGAUUCAUGAAGGAAAAAUGUUUUGUUUUUAGCAAUAAUUUUAUCAACAUGCAUAACGACCGGUAACUUAAUUCAUGAAGUCACGACUCUUAUGGAAAAACUCUUCAAGUUUUGAGAGCGCCAUUUAUCGGUUCAAGUUGCUUGCUUGAUUAAAAAGGGCUUUUAAAAAAGCAUGUAAUGCAGGCUAUGGUUCAUGGCUAUGAAAGAAAGGAAUUUCACAGGCUCAAAAGGUGUUUGAGGGUUUCAAAGACCUAGGAUCAACAUCAACUAUUCAUCAACUUGUUUUCUAUUGUUGUCUUUAUAGAGGAAACGACAUAUAACCUUGUUAACCUCAAAGUUCCGACUUUUCUUAACAUAAGUCAUAAUGCAAAUCCAACUUUCUUUGAGGAAUAACCAACCUUAAUCAUCUGAUAACAUCAUAGGUUUUAUAACGGAUACCAAAAGUCAACGCUUAUAGCUUAGUCUUUUUUCUGGUAUUGACUUUUGUUGUGCCUUUCCUUGAUUGAAAUUUCUUUUGCUCUUCAUAGACUUGAUAGGCGUUCUCCUUCCUUUAUCUUUGACUUGUAUUUAAGUGAAGGCAAUUUCAACUUCCUUUUUUCAUUCUCUUUUUUUUUUUUCAUAGCCUUCCUCAAAAUUUUCUUAUAUGCCCCCAGUCUAUGUGUUUUCUUUUAGCUCUCUCUCAAUCAUUGGACCUUUGUUCUAAGCCUUCCCCUUUAUCCAUUAAUUAUAUCAAUGUCUCCAAAAUAUCUCUCAUUUGCCCCCAGUGUGGGGUGUGAUCCUAGUCAGGGUUUCUUUUUUUGAAAGAAAAUAUUUUACCAGGCUCAAAAUGGGACUGCAAGGGAUAUAAUCUUUAGAAAGUGAAGGGAUAUCAAAGAUGGCCUUUUCUCAUUUCAAGCAAGGUCGGUUAGAACCGAUAAAUUUUGACCUCAUCCAGUGUAAUGAUUGGGACUUGUAAGAAUCAUGAUUCACGAGUCCAUAACUACCGAAUCCACUACAUGUCAUUAUGCAUACUGUUAAAACUUAGCUAUAUGAUGUGUGGUUCAGUUUCAGGAGGUAUGAGUUCAAAAUUGUUUGGUCACCUCAUGUCAUUUUCAAGCAUAGAGUCAUUUCUGUAAUCAAAACACUUUUAAUCUUCCGGAUUGAUUAACCUUUAUCGCAUGUUGGAGUUUGAUCAAAAUAUUUUGUCAGAAUAAAAUGCUAAACAUCUGUUGAUUUCAAAACAACAAAGAGACAAAAGCAAGGCAUGUUUCGUUGAAGGAUGAGAUGUGAUCCCAAAACAAAAUGCAGAAUUCCAUAACAAUAUGAUUGACUGUUCAUCACCAUUCUCGAAUCAGCUUUUCUGGCAAUAUCUGUGUUUUGCAAAGCAUUUUCGAUCACAUGUGAUUCUGAAGUUGUUCGAGGAACAAUAUAGCCAGUGACACCCUUUUUCGACGACUCCACUUGUCUCUUGCUCACCAACUUUCAGACUCGCUUCUCGAAAUUCUUGCAAUUGCUCAAUUGAAAUGGUUGAGGACCUCAUCAUGACAUCAUAUCUCUUGUCUGGAUUAAACCACCCAGAAAAUGGUGGUUGCAUAGGAUUUGUCGGAGUCAAGCAAAAUUCUGGAAUCUGGCAGAUGCUGGUCGACAAACUUAAAUGGCAGAGGAAUGUCCCAUCUUGGCAAAGAUAUUUGAGCAAUUGAUGCUACCGUGAGACCUGGCUAUACCACAUAAUUAAGGGCUCACACCGUCAAAGUCAUCUCCUGAUUCACCUCUCAUCAUUGUUCUAGAAUCCAUGGCAGAUCCUUCAAUCUUUCUCUCUUCAUAGCUUGUUCAAUUCUUCGGCAAAUCCUCAUAACAUUAUUUCAAACUUCCAAUGUUGCUAGGGUUGGUUGAGGAUUGUUAGAAAACUUUCUAACAGCUUGGUAAUCUUGGCAGCGCCUAAAAACUUGUAGUAUCACCCCUACCAACACGUGGAAUCAUGCCUUAUCUCUUAUAUGGGAGAAAACGAUGAACAUGAAUCUCCGCUAUUUCUUCUUUGAUUCCUUUCAAACGGUGCAACAAACAAGCACCAAUAUAUGGAGUUCUGCUCUGUUGAAGUUUCAGUCUUCUUCAUGUUUUUCAGUCUAGGCAUGUCUCUUCUCUCUACUCUUGCAUUUUAAUACUGACACUGUUGGAGGAAAAUCAUAGUUGAUCUGAAACUACUAUAUUCCUUCUUGGAUUUCCCACUUACGAAUCUACAAAUAGAUUCCUGCCGAAAGAGCUCUGCUACGUUGAAAUUUGAAGUCUGCUCGUAUUUUUCAGACCAGGUCUGGAUCUUCAAUGUACUAAGAUGUUUCCGUGCUGAAACUGAUGAGAGAAAUAUUUGUAGCAUAUGCAAUUAGUAAAUCCCCUCUUGCACUCUCAACUUGCAGCAUCAUCAAUAGAUUUUUGUAAAGAGAGCUCUGCCACGUUGAAGUUUGACGACUACUCAUAUUUUCAGACGAGGCUUGACUCCUCUGUCUACUACAAAGUUUUGCUCGUGCCACAUGUAGAAAUUCAGUGUCUAAUCGUGGUUUUUCAGACCAACAUCUUGUGCUGCUGAAAUGGAAUUAAGCUCAUAAUUAGGGCAGCUUCCAAGAAGACUAAUGCGCCAUGUACAGGAGACCGGUAGUUGUUUGGUUCCAUUAGAUGACGUGGAGGCGAUGAACACUUAACAGUGCAACUGGACAAGAAUCAGAAUUGUAACAGUGCAACUGAACAAGAAUCAGAAUUGUAACAGUGCAACUGAACAAGAAUCAGAGUUGUCAUUAGUUGAUGACUGAAGGCAUUGUUGUUGUUAUUCAUGAUUGAAAAUGAGAGGUACAACUUCAAUUGAAUGUGAACAAACAGUGUUCCCACAGAAGACUGUGUAGACAUUCUUUUUCCAUUUGAUGCUCAACACUUGUUCGAGCAGAUCUGAGUCUAGUUGUUUCACCUUUGAUGCUCUCAACCUUAAUCUGAUAAUGAGCCCCAAUUUGACACCUUUCUUCACUUCCCUCAUCUUUCUUCAAUCACGUGCAGCACAGCUUGCGCGGGUGACCUUCCUUUCAACCCGGUACAUGCAUGAUAAAUGUAUGAACAUGUAAUCUAUAUGAUGAACUCUUCCUUCGAGAGGUGACAAUAUGGUCGUAACUCUUGUAUGAUGGACAAGAAUCGUGAUUUUUGCCCAAACUCUACAAUGAAAAUUUUCGGAGCAACGGCCAAUGUGUCACCCACAAGUCUUGAGUUCAAGAUGCUUCAAGAAGGGUUUGCCCUUAUGCAAAAAACGAUAGCACAUACAACCUAAGGACAGGUUCUAUUCAUUAUGUGAACAUGGGUAAGUUUUCUAUCUGGUCUCAAAAGGGUCUCAUAUCUGCCCAGUGACGUUCUUCGUAAAGACAGUUUGGGGGCGUUGCAAGGAAUGGUUAAGGUACGUAUACCCACCAUUACCAAGCAGGCACUCAGAUAUGAGUUGGGUGUUCCACGCAUCUGAACCCUGACCAAUAGUCUUAGGGCAGAUCGCUAGUUCCCCACCUAACCUAGAAGCUUGUGUGUGCUUUUAAAAAUAAAUACAAGUGAUGCAUGAGACAAUUCUAUAAAAUGCAUGGAAAUAAAUAUUAACCAAAAAGAUAAAAAUGCAAAAACUUAAACACAUCAAUUACACAAAGCUUAGUCCAAUAAUCGAAAAAAUAACCUUCCCCAGUGGAGUCGCCAUUCUGUCGCACCCCAAAAAAAUCAGCGCGCGGCAUCGGCUGGCGAUUUAAAUCUCGUUUAUUGCGUUUGCUUGAAUUUGGUUCGUUGGAGUCGCCACCUAGUAAUUGAUUUCGGGCUACUAGGAAACCGGAUGUACUGGUCUUGUUAGAGAUUUACGGGUAAGGGACUGGUUGUGGUUAGGGAAGGUAUUAGCACCCCUAACGCACCCUACCUGAGGUAAGCUGCUUCGUGGCUUUGACGUGUUAAAGAAGUUUUAAUAAUUGUCUUUUCUUCGGAAAUUAGAAAUAUCACUUACGUAUAAGUUAAUAAUUCUUAACCGUGAUCCGAUCAAAAUAUUAAAUUCUUCUUUAAUAUAUUUUGCAAUUUUAUCAUUAAAAAAAAUAUGUACAAAUAAAUAAAACAAAAAUACAAGCACACACAUGCACUUUCACUAUUUUAUUUUUGUUUCUUUCCUUUUCUUUUUCUUUUCUUUUCUUUUUCUUUUCUUUUACAUCCAUAUUUACAAAAUACAAAUUACAAAAAAACUCAAAACUAAAUAAAAUAUUACAUUAAAACAAUUUGGAAAUUACAAAAUGAACCAAAACAUUCCGGACCAGUACUGGAAACCUCUAACUCGCCGGAACAGUGUUGUGAAGCCGCUGGGACAGCAGUGGCAGUGGUGGCGCGUGGAUCUCACGCACCCCGCCACUGGCGGCGCGUGGAUCCACGCGCCACCGUGAAAACAAGGCGAAAACAGGGGGGUCUGCAACGACCUCCUCCCUCCUUCUUUCCUCGCCGGCGCCAACCUGCAGAUCAAUCAAAGAACAACACAGCAGUCGAUUUUAAUUUGUUUGUUUCAUUUCUUAGAUCUGUUUUUUUUGCAGAUCUGCGUCUGGUUGCAGAUCCGGUGAUGCCCAGCUGCGGUGGUGGGUGUCUUCUCCUCCUCCGUUUCAGGUGGUGAAGGCAGGUCUGACGGCGGCUGUGUUGCUGCUGGUGUUCGGCGAGCCGGUCGCUGCUACUGGAGGCCGAAUGAAGGGGGGGACUUGCGUUGCGAGAGGGUGGCCGGCUUCGGUGAAGGCCUGUCGAGGCUGGCUUCGGGUUCGUCAGGUGGAGAAGCUGGGAGACUGCGGCGGAGGGAGAAGGAGGCGGCUCUGUGCAGGCCGAGAGGGAAGAUGACGGGGAGAUAGGGACUGCUGGAGGCGACCGGAGGAGAAGAAACCCACGGGUCCAAGCUGGGGAAGCAACAAUCGUCUUCAACAGGAAGCGCCGGAGCUGCGGGUUGAUUUGGGUGGAGGCGCUGCUAUUGAGAGGAGAAGAAGACGCUGCUGAGGAAGGGGGUUUCGGCUGGAUCUGCUGGUGAGGGAGAAAGGA